UUACAUAAUCUCGUCUCCCUCGCAUUGCGCGCCGCGGAAAACUCGCGAACCAUAACGCAGCGUCAUGCGCACAGCCUCUGUAAGUACACAGUCGUUUCCGGUAGACCCCGAGCCUACCGCUCUGCUUGCGUUCUCGGGGGUCGGUGUCGGUCUUGGGUCUGGCCAUGCCUGAGCCUGCAAAGUUCGCGCCGGCUCCCAAGAAGGGCUCCAAGAAAGCCGUCACCAAAGCCCAGAAGAAAGACGGCAAGAAGCGCAAGCGCAGCCGCAAGGAGAGCUACUCCAUCUACGUGUACAAGGUGCUGAAGCGGGUCCACCCCGACACCGGCAUCUGGUGCAAGGCCAUGGGCAUCAUGAACUCCUUCCUCAACGACAUCUUCGAGCGCAUCGCGGGAGAGGCGUCCCGCCUGGCGCACUACAACAAGCGCUCCACCAUCACGUCCCGGAGAUCCAGACGGCCGUGCGCCUGCUGCUGCCCGGCGAGCUGGCCAAGCACGCCGUGUCCGAGGGCACCAAGGCGGUCACCAAGUACGCCAGCUCCAAGUGAGUCCCUGCCGGGACCUGGCGCUCGCUCGCUCCCUCCCUCCCUCCCUCCGCGGGUCGCCGGCUGCUUUGUCUCCAAAGGCUCUUUUCAGGGCCAUUUAACCACCUCAGUUAAAGAAUCUUUCUUGUGUUGUCAGUCCCAGUUGAUGUUUUUGGCUUCACGUCUGGUUAACUUUAGGAGAGCACACAACACCAAGCACAGAUAACUAUUUUCUUUUCACAUAGGCAUUGCUAUAAGUAAGCUUACAUAGAUUGAUAGUGGUAUCUUACUAUGGCAUAGAUAGGUUGGGGCUUGCCUUAGAGGGCUGCUCUUGAACUGUCUUUGGCCUGGUUACGUACCCGUGAAUAUGUGCCCAGGAGAUUGUUUCCUGUUGAGAAACGCAGUGUUAAUUUUGAUAAGUUUAUGUAAGAUCAAAUUGUGUAUAUGAACAAAGGUUGGGUCCGCUCUUCAGUGGUAAAAUGAAGGUAGAGAUUAAAUGCAUUGUAUGCUCUCAGAUGUGUACUUAAAAGGGAAUAGCUCAACUUUUAUAUAUGGUAUCGAGAAACCUGAGGUUUUUAUAUCAUUGGUUCACAAACACGUGCCUACACCACCACUCAUGUGAAAAUUCCUUAAGGAGGUAGAUGGAAGUUCGAUUUUGAUAACCAGGAGUUAACACCGAUAACCUUCUGCGCUUUCUAGUUGAGAUACCCUAAAAUCUACCCAAUACCAUUAAAUGGUUUUUUUCCCCAAGAGUUAUCACUCGGAAAAGCUUGUCCAGUUUAAGGGUUUGUUCCAUACAAUAGCAACAAAAUAUACGAUUUCUGAAGCCAGAGUUUGGGAUCCCUGAAGAGGAGAAGGACCACCAAUUUGCAAGGGAGGUUGAUUAGGUUUGUUUUCUGCUUUGGGAACACUGGACUUGGAAUCACACAGCCUCAUUAACCUCAAAAUAUUAUACUGAUUGCUCUGGGGAUCGUAAAUCCUAGGCUGGCCACAAUAGAAGCGAGGAAAGCAAUUAGGAGGCUGUUGCAGUGUUGUGGGCUGGAACAGUGAUUAAGACUUAAAGUCUCUCCAGACCAGCAGCAUCAGCAUUACUUGAAGUUACUAAAAAUGAAAAUUCCCAGGUUCCAUUAUUUGUGUUAAGCUUUCUGGGUGAUGGUGAUAUAUGCUAAAGUGUGAAAAACAACGGAUAAAUGACAUGCUGGAGUGCAAUGGUGGUAAUGGAAACAAAUGUUGGAUUUUAUCUUUGAGGUAGAAUUAAUAGGUGUGGCUGAGGAACAGGAUUUAGCUAACAGUGAAACCCCUAGAUUUUUGGCUUGAGCAACUGUGUAGAUAGUGGUACUAUUAGGAUAGAACACUGAGAGAAGAUAUUCGUUGGGACACUGAAGGGAGAUCCAGAGUUCCGACUGAAAUUUGAGAAGCUCUUUGCUAUUCAAGUGGAUAUGUGCAGUUGACAGUUUGAGAGAUGCAUCUAGGGUUCAGUAAAGACAACACAAGCCUGUCUUUAGGGUCUACCUGUGAACUGUGAACACAGCAAUGAGAAUGAUGGACAUCACCUUUAAGUAUUUUUCUAGACUUUAUUACUCAUGUGUUUGUCAUGAGGUGUAACUUAGUAGUUCAUAGUCCUAUAAUGUAUGUUAUUGACUAGGUAGCAUUUAUUUUUCUAAUUGUUUCUGUUAUAGUGCUGCCACAUGUGUUUCCCAGAAACGCAUUUUACCCACAGUUCUUAGGGUUGGCCUGAUUAGUUUAAUUGCUGUCUGAACCUGCUUCUUACUGUGAUUAGUUCAGGAAUCUAGAUCAAACUCAUUGGCAUUUAACAUUUCAGGAAGUGAACUGAGUAACAACUAACUCAGCAGGGGAGUGUAGUAUGCUAUUAUCUUUUGGGAAAGCAGCUUAUUUGCUUUCAAGAGGCAGCAGGAGGAUGGACUGUCUUUAGGUAUGAAGGCAAGAAUGAUUAUAGACAAUAUGCAGAGGAGGACACAGUGUGGGAGAAUCAGGGAACUGAGCCACUCAUGGAGUUCAGCCAACCUUGGAUCCCUGCUGCACCUUUGGACUUCCAGUUAAGCCAAUUUGUCUGACAUAUUUACUUAUACCAGUUUGAAUCUUGAAAUAUUUCAGGAAUAAUAAUUUCCUAGAUAAAAGGAAAGACCUUUCAUGAAAGGUCUCAAGUCAAAUAGGGUCAAUUAGGACAGAGUUGCUCCAAUUACAUAUUUGGAACAGAUGUCCAAAUGUUAAUACUUGACUAAGGCUAAAGACUAAUAUUACCAUCACAGGAAAAAUGUCCAGGGUUUUUUUUCAGAUGUGAAAUUUUAUUUAAAAAUUUUAAAUAAACUAAAUCAAAAAAUUUUAGUAGUUGUACUAAUUUCCUGGGGCUGUCAAAGUACCACAAACUGUAUGGCGUAAAACAACACAAAGUUAUUCUUUCAUGGUUUUAGAGGCUAGAAGUUUGAAAUCAACGUGUUGGUAGGGCCAUGCUCUCUCCAAACCCACUAGGGGAAGACUCCUGUCUUUCAGUGUCUGGUAGCCCCACUUGUUCUUUGGUUUCUGGCAGCAUAACUGUAAUCUCUACCUCAGUUUUUUCAUGUAUGUCUCCAUGUUUUUUUACUUUCUUUCUUGAGAUGGAGUUUCACUCUUGUUGCCCAGGCUGGAGUGCAGUGGCAUGAUCUUGGCUUACUGCAACCUCUGUGCCCCGGGUUCAAGCAAUUUUCCUGCCUCAGCCUCCCGAGUAGCUGGGAUUACAGGCAUGCGUCAGCACGCCCGGCUGAUUUUGUAUUUUUGGUAGAGAUGGAGUUUCAUCAUGUUAGUCAGGCUGGCCUCGAACUGACCUCAGGUGAUCCACCUGCCUUGGCCUCCCAAAGUGCUGGGAUUACAGAUGUGAGCCACUGCACCCGGCUGUCUCCAUGUCUUCUUAUAAGGGUAUCAGUCAUACUGGAUUAGGGCCCACCCUAAAGACCUCAUUUUAACUUGAUUACCUCUGUAAAGACCCUGUUUCCAAAGAAGGCAAAAUUCUAAGCAACUAGGGGUUAGACUUCAACAUAUCUUUCGGGGGGACACAACUCAACCCAUAACAGUAGUCAAUGGCUGUGGCAGGCUAAAUGUGGCUCCCAAAUAUGUCCAUAUCCUAAUCCCUACAGCCUGUGAAUAUUACCUUAUAUAGCCAAGAGGAUUUUGCAGAUGUGAUUCUGAGAUUGAGAGAUUAUGCCAGAUUAUCCAGGUAGGCCCCAAAUGUAAUCACCACAGUCCUUAUAGGAGAGGCAAGAAAGUCAAGUGUAGAAGGAGGCGAUAGAAGGAGAGAGGGAUUUGAAGAUUAAUAGGCUGCUUGCUUUGAAGACAGAGGGAAGGGACCAUAAACCAGAAAUAAACCUCUAGAAGCUGGAAAAGGCAUGGAAAUAGACCCUCCCUUAAGGUCUCUGGAGGGAGUGCAGCCUUGAUUUCUACCGAGUAAAAUUGAUUUUGUACUUCAGACCUCCAAAACUGUAAGAGAAUGACUGUUGUUUUAAAACCAUUGAGUUUGUAGUAAUUUGUUGCAGCAGCCACAAGAAACUAAUACAACAUCUAUAUAGAAUUUUUUCAAUAAUUGGAGAAAUUUGAAUAUGGAUUGCAUAUUAAUAUUACUGAAUCAGCAUUAAAUUUGUUAGGUGUAAUAAUGUGAUUGUAGCUAUUUAGGAGAAUAUCCUAUUUUUAAGAGACAUGCCACCAUAUUUAGGGAGAAGUGCCAACAUAUUUGCAGUUUAUUUUCAAAUGGUUCAGAGGCUGUCUGUGUACAUGAGAAGACAAAGAUAAGGCAAAUGCAGCAAAAUUGUAAUAAUUGGUGAAUCCAGGUGAAGGGACUAUGGCUGGUCUUUGUACUUUUUUUUCCAACUUUUCUGUAGGUUUAAAAUUUUCAAAAUAAAAAAAUGGGAAAUACUUUAAAAAUUGUAAUCAAAGACAUUAGUACAGAAACUUUCAUAAUGUAUUUUAUUUUUACAGUAAAAUUAAUUUAUGUAAAUUGAUAGAAUUUUACUAAUUUCACUCCCAAGUUACAUUAAAAGGCUUACAUAUGUUUGAUAAUAGCAUAUGUAAACUAGAACUCUGAAUGAUAUCCAUUGGUCAUAAUACGUACUAUGUAGCGGUAAUGGUGACUUUUGUGAUUGCACAAGUCUAGAGAUGCCCCAAAUGACAUUGACUUAGACAUCUGGUUAUUCUAAGGCUGAAACUGAAGUUGAAUAGAAGGUUUUAGUCAAAUACUGAGAUGAAAACUGAGGCAGUCCUGGCGGGGGGGAGUGAGUGUGUGUGUAUAUAUACACACAUAGACAUCAUGCUUCUAAACAUUUACAGAAAGAAAGGGUAGAUUAUCUACAAAAAAAUAAGAAUCAGACUGAUAUGAGAUCUUACAAACCUAACCCCCUUCUCUUUCCUAAACUCCAGAUUCUCAUAUUUCUGACUUCCUAUUUGAUAUUUACACUUCGAUAUUUACCAGGAGUCUUCAACAUUUUGUUCAAAACAGUACUCUUGGUUUUCUUCCUCCAAGACUACUCCUUACUCAUAUCAGCAAAUAGCAGCUCUUUUCAAGUGCUCAGUGUAAAAACCUACAAUUAAUCCUUGAUUUCUCUUUCAGUCAGCCUAUACUAAAUCAAUUUCAUUUAAAAUAUCUCGGCUACUACUCUGCAUCUCCACUGCUACCAUCGGCCUCUCCAGUCACAUUCUCCAAGAGCACUCUAUCUCAUUUAAAAGACAAAAUCUCUGCAGUGGCCUGUGAUGCUCCUUAAUGGCCUACAUAAUCCAGCCCUCAAGCACCUCCGUGAUCUCUGUAAAACUUUCCCUUGGUCACUGUGCUUCAGCCACAUUAACCAGCUUGCAUAUUUCUCACAUUCACCAAGCUUGUUCCUGCCUUGGGGCCUUUGUACUUACCAUGUUCUGUUCUGAGAAUACUCUGCCUCAAGAUAUCCUACAACUAUCUUACUGUAUUCAGCUCUCUGCUCAAGUAUUAACUGAUGAAACCUGUCAUCCCUACUCCACUCCAUGUUCUGCUUUACUUAACAGCAAUUGCACAUAUGGCCCCCUGAAUAAUAUACAUUUAGUCACUUAUUUUUACUUAUCUGCUAAUUAAAAUGUAGACUUUUUCUAUUCUGUUUACUGCUGUAUUCCCAGCAUGUUUUAUCCGAAUGUGCAGUGGUUUCUUUUCUUCUCCCUUAUCGUGGGAAGUGAUGUGCACAAAUACACAUAAUGGAGCCUGAAUGUCAUAUUGCUUUCAUACCUGUGUGAAUUUUGGUAAGAAAGGAAAAGUAGCGAUUGACAGGUAAUAUAAUUACAUUAAGUCACUCUCAUAGUUAGCUGUUUAUUGCUUUCCUGCUCUUAUUCUCAGUCCCCAGGACCAAAUGUUGACCACUACCUUCCCCCACAUAUAAUUAGGUUAUUUACCGAACGCCAUGCAGGUGGCUGUUAAAAGGAAGAUAUAUACUUACCUUAUAAACUCAACUUUUCCCUGUUGUCUUUCUGUCUCACCCCUACCUCCAUGCUUUAAAUUAACUUUUCAGGCUUAGGCCUUAUCUCUCAGUAGAGCCAUAUAAGGUAUGUGUAAAAGCAGGAAAAUGUUUCCUGGGGAUGAAGCUUUGAAAAGCUUUUUUUUUUUUUUCUUUUGGCAAUAAAAUAAGGUAGAUUCAGCACAAUACCUAAUAACUAAAAAAUCUGUUUUUAAUUGGGUGGGGCAGACAGCAAGUGUGUCAUCCUGGAAGAUACUAUUUGGGAUUUUAUGUAGGUACAUAAGAGAAAAAAGUGAACAAAAGCAAGGGGCUACCAGGACGCCGCAGUAUGCUUAACAUGUAUUUUCUAAGUUUGUAUUAUGCCUUUAUCUUGGUACUUUUAUCUUCUGUUCUCACUUGAUCUUUUUGAAAUGUAUUUUAAAUCCUAAUAAAAAUAUAUAAAGUCUGGAAUUAAUAAAGGA
rnacentral:lncRNA from 1 species